CCUACGGGAGGCUGCAGUGGGGAAUAUUGCACAAUGGGCGCAAGCCUGAUGCAGCCAUGCCGCGUGUGUGAAGAAGGCCUUCGGGUUGUAAAGCACUUUCAGCGGGGAGGAAGGCGGUGAGGUUAAUAACCUCAUCGAUUGACGUUACCCGCAGAAGAAGCACCGGCUAACUCCGUGCCAGCAGCCGCGGUAAUACGGAGGGUGCAAGCGUUAAUCGGAAUUACUGGGCGUAAAGCGCACGCAGGCGGUCUGUCAAGUCGGAUGUGAAAUCCCCGGGCUCAACCUGGGAACUGCAUUCGAAACUGGCAGGCUAGAAUCUUGUAGAGGGGGGUAGAAUUCCAGGUGGAGCGGUGAAAUGCGUAGAGAUCUGGAGGAAUACCGGUGGCGAAGGCGGCCCCCUGGACAAAGACUGACGCUCAGGUGCGAAAGCGUGGGGAGCAAACAGGAUUAGAUACCCGUGUAGUC
rnacentral:rRNA from 1 species